rnacentral:lncRNA from 1 species
GUGUGUCCAGGCAACAACUAGAUAUGUUUUCAGGAGUUAAUUAGAGAGGCAGAUAAUUUUGCAGGAACAGACAGGGUUCCAGCGUUAGAAUAUCUAAACAUUUUGUCAGAAAUAGGGAGCCACCAAAAGUUACUGAAUACAACAAUUGUCAAUUGUUAUUUACUGGGUGCCAAGCACUGUGUGUGUGUGUGUGUGUGUGUGUGUGCACGCGUGUGCGUGUUCGUGUGUGUGUGUAUGGGUUUAAUUCAAUCGACAAAAAUAACUCUAUGGGGUGGGUGCUAUUGUCAUUCUAGUUUAUAGAUGAGGAAACUGAGGGACAGAUAAUUAAAUGACCCAAAGUCACAUGAUCAGUUAGUGGCAAAAGUAUGAAUGGACUCUACGUUUCUCUGAAAAGAAGAAAAGUAACCAAACCAGAAUUUGCACUAGGGAAGUUUGAAAGAAGUUGAUCCAUUUUGAGAACAGAGUUACAGAAAACAAAUAAGGAACCCACUGACGUCCUAGUAGGCUGAGCUCGACGUGAGUGAUUCUUCGUUCUUUGGAUUCUCUCUCACUCAAUAUCCAGUGUCUCAUGGUGCCUUAGGAAUUUUCCUUCCAUCUGUGUUUCAUCUUUGCCUUUAUCUCCAAUGCCUAGGCCACCACUCUGCUGUCCUGCCUGCUGUAGCUUUACCCUGGAAGUACUCAUUCUUCAACAGGUUUCCAGAGGUCUCUUCCCGCUGACUUCCACCUUUCCUGCCAAUAUUGCAGUAGGAUUAACCUGCAUGAAACAUUUUUCUCAUUUGUAAACAUCAAUGGUUGAACCCUGAUUAACAAGGAAAAUUCAAUUUCUUAGCUUUGUAUUCAAGAUUUUUACUUCCCUGACUCCAACUCUAUUUCCUAAAUGGAAAAAUCUCCUGGAUUCAAAUUAGCCUCUGUGCAUCCUCCUCCAGCAUCCACAUUUUACCCAGUACAUCCCACUUAUCUUAGGCUCAAUUCAAUCGUACACAUCCUAAGUAACAGCAAAC